rfam:Villosiclava virens strain TV-8b Sca_135, whole genome shotgun sequence.
CCCGCUGAACUUAAGCAUAUCAAUAAGCGGAGGAAAAGAAACCAACAGGGAUUGCCCCAGUAACGGCGAGGGAAGCGGCAACAGCUCAAAUUUGAAAUCUGGCCCCCCGGGGCCCGAGUUGUAAUUUGUAGAGGAUGCUUCUGGCGAGGCAACAGCUUAAGACUAUAUCUAGCGGUAUUAUAUAGGAAGAGUGCGAGUAAGAAGUCCUAGAAUAUUAGGUCUAGGUCGGACUGGUCGCUACGGCUUCACAGCGUACGGGAUAUGCCUGGCUGCAGCAGGGGGCCUCGUGCCCCGUUCCUGCGUGCCGGAUGGGUUCUGUGGGCGAUUGGCCGCUGGGCGGGUUCGCCGUAGACACAGAGCAGCAGGGGCCAACCACGGGCAGCUGACGCCGGAAUGGACGUGAAAUUGUUGAAAGGGAAGCGCUCGUGACCAGACGUGGGCCUCGGCGGAUCAUCCAGCGGUCUCCCGCUGGUGCACUCCGCCGGGCCCAGGCCAGCAUCAGUUUGCCCUGGGGGAUAAAGGCUCCGGGAACGUGGCUCCUCCGGGAGUGUUAUAGCCCGCCGCGCAAUACCCUGGGGCGGACUGAGGUUCGCGCAUCUUUUGCUAGGAUGCUGGCGUAAUGGUUAUCAGCGGCCCGUCUUGAAACACGGACCAAGGAGUCGUCUUCGUAUGCGAGUGUUCGGGUGUCAAACCCCUACGCGGAAUGAAAGUGAACGCAGGUGAGAGCCCUCUGGGCGCAUCAUCGACCGAUCCUGAUGUUCUCGGAUGGAUUUGAGUAAGAGCAUACGGGGCCGGACCCGAAAGAAGGUGAACUAUGCCUGUAUAGGGUGAAGCCAGAGGAAACUCUGGUGGAGGCUCGCAGCGGUUCUGACGUGCAAAUCGAUCGUCAAAUAUGGGCAUGGGGGCGAAAGACUAAUCGAACCUUCUAGUAGCUGGUUUCCGCCGAAGUUUCCCUCAGGAUAGCAGUGUUGAUCUCAGUUUUAUGAGGUAAAGCGAAUGAUUAGGGACCCGGGGGCGCUAUAUAGCCUUCAUCCAUUCUCAAACUUUAAAUAUGUAAGAAGCCCUUGUUACUUGACUGAACGUGGGCAUUCGAAUGUAUCAGCACUAGUGGGCCAUUUUUGGUAAGCAGAACUGGCGAUGCGGGAUGAACCGAACGCGAGGUUAAGGUGCCAGAGUAGACGCUCAUCAGACACCACAAAAGGUGUUAGUACAUCUUGACAGCAGGACGGUGGCCAUGGAAGUCGGAAUCCGCUAAGGACUGUGUAACAACUCACCUGCCGAAUGUACUAGCCCUGAAAAUGGAUGGCGCUCAAGCGUCUCACCCAUACCUCGCCCUCAGGGUAGAAACGAAGCCCUGAGGAGUAGGCGGACGUGGGGGUCAGUGACGAAGCCUAGGGCGUGAGCCCGGGUCGAACGGCCUCUAGUGCAGAUCUUGGUGGUAGUAGCAAAUACUUCAAUGAGAACUUGAAGGACCGAAGUGGGGAAAGGUUCCAUGUGAACAGCGGUUGGACGUGGGUUAGCCGAUCCUAAGCCAUAGGGAAGUUCCGUUUCAAAGGCGCACUCGUGCGCCGUCUGGCGAAAGGGGAGCCGGUUAACAUUCCGGCGCCUGGAUGUGGGUUUUGCGCGGCAACGCAACUGAACGCGGAGACGACGGCGGGGGCCCCGAGCAGAGUUCUCUUUUCUUCUUAACGGUCUCUCACCCUGAAAUCGGUUUGUCCGGAGCUAGGGUUUAACGGCCGGAAGAGCCCAGCACCUCUGCUGGGUUCGGUGCGCUCCCGACGUCCCUUGAAAAUCCGCGGGAGGGAAUAAUUCUCACGCCAGGUCGUACUCAUAACCGCAGCAGGUCUCCAAGGUGAACAGCCUCUGGUU